rnacentral:rRNA from 1 species
GGGGGAGCAAGCGUUGUUCGGAUUUACUGGGCGUAAAGGGCGCGUAGGCGGCCACCGCAAGUCGACUGUGAAAUCUCUGGGCUUAACCCAGAAAGGUCAGCCGAUACUGCGGGGCUAGAGUGCAGAAGGGGCAACUGGAAUUCUUGGUGUAGCGGUGAAAUGCGUAGAUAUCGAGAGGAACACCUGCGGCGAAGGCGGGUUGCUGGGCUGACACUGACGCUGAAGCGCGAAAGCUAGGGGAGCGAACGGGAUUAGAUACCCCGGUAGUCCUAGCCUUAAACGAUGAAUGCUUGGUGUCUGGGGUUUUAUAGUCCCCGGGUGCCGUCGCUAACGCUUUAAGCAUUCCGCCUGGGGAGUACGGUCGCAAGACUG